AACGAACGCUGGCGGCAGGCUUAACACAUGCAAGUCGAACGGAACCUUCGGGAUUAGUGGCAGACGGGUGAGUAACGCGUGGGAACGUACCCUUUGCUACGGAAUAACUCAGGGAAACUUGAGCUAAUACCGGAUGUGCCCUACGGGGGAAAGAUUUAUCGGCAAAGGAUCGGCCCGCGUUGGAUUAGCUAGUUGGUGGGGUAAUGGCCUACCAAGGCGACGAUCCAUAGCUGGUCUGAGAGGAUGAUCAGCCACACUGGGACUGAGACACGGCCCAGACUCCUACGGGAGGCAGCAGUGGGGAAUAUUGGAAAAUGGGCGCAAGCCUGAUCCAGCCAUGCCGCGUGAGUGAUGAAGGUCUUAGGAUUGUAAAGCUCUUUAACCGGUGAAGAUAAUGACGGUAGCCGGAGAAGAAGCCCCGGCUAACUUCGUG
rnacentral:rRNA from 1 species